GACGAACGCUGGCGGCGUGCUUAACACAUGCAAGUCGAACGGAAAGGCCCUCACCUUGGUGGGGGUGCUCGAGUGGCGAACGGGUGAGUAACACGUGGGUGAUCUGCCCUGUACUUCGGGAUAAGCUUGGGAAACUGGGUCUAAUACCGGAUAGGACCAUGGUUUAGUGUCUCAUGGUGGAAAAAUUAUUGUUUUGGUGCAGGAUGAGCUCGCGGCCUAUCAGCUUGUUGGUGGGGUAAUGGCCUACCAAGGCGUCGACGGGUAGCCGGCCUGAGAGGGUGGACGGCCACAUUGGGACUGAGAUACGGCCCAGACUCCUACGGGAGGCAGCAGUGGGGAAUAUUGCACAAUGGGCGCAAGCCUGAUGCAGCGACGCCGCGUGGGGGAUGACGGCCUUCGGGUUGUAAACUCCUUUCGUUAGGGACGAAGCCACACUUUUUUUGGGUGUGGUGACGGUACCUUUGCUAAGAAGCACCGGCUAACUACGUGCCAGCAGCCGCGGUAAUACGUAGGGUGCGAGCGUUGUCCAGAAUUACUGGGCGUAAAGAGCUCGUAGGUGGUUUGUUGCGUCGUCUGUGAAAUUCCGGGGCUUAACUUCGGGGUGGCAGGCGAUACGGGCAUAACUAGAGUGCUGUAGGGGAGACUGGAAUUCCUGGUGUAGCGGUGGAAUGCGCAGAUAUCAGGAGGAACACCGAUGGCGAAGGCAGGUCUCUGGGCAGUAACUGACGCUGAGGAGCGAAAGCAUGGGGAGCGAACAGGAUUAGAUACCCUGGUAGUCCAUGCUGUAAACGGUGGGCGUUAGGUGUGGGGACCGGUUUGGUUUCUGUGCCGUAGCUAACGCAUUAAGCGCCCCGCCUGGGGAGUACGGCCGCAAGGCUAAAACUCAAAGGAAUUGACGGGGGCCCGCACAAGCGGCGGAGCAUGUGGAUUAAUUCGAUGCAACGCGAAGAACCUUACCUGGGUUUGACAUGCACCAGACGGUUGUAGAGAUACGUACCUCCCUUUGUGGUUGGUGUGCAGGUGGUGCAUGGUUGUCGUCAGCUCGUGUCGUGAGAUGUUGGGUUAAGUCCCGCAACGAGCGCAACCCUUGUCUUAUGUUGCCAGCACGUUUGGGUGGGGACUCAUGAGAGACUGCCGGGGUUAACUCGGAGGAAGGUGGGGAUGACGUCAAAUCAUCAUGCCCUUUAUGCCCAGGGCUUCACACAUGCUACAAUGGUUAGUACAACGCGCGGCGAGCCUGUGAGGGUGAGCGAAUCGCUGAAAGCUAAUCUCAGUUCGGAUUGGGGUCUGCAACUCGACCCCAUGAAGUCGGAGUCGCUAGUAAUCGCAGAUCAGCAAUGCUGCGGUGAAUACGUUCCCGGGCCU
rnacentral:rRNA from 1 species